GGCAAGAUGGCCGAGCGGUUAAGGCGGUAGACGUAUGUUCUACUCUCGAAAGAGGCGGGGGUUCGAAUCCCCCUCUUGUCA